rnacentral:rRNA from 1 species
GGUACUCGAGUGGCGAACGGGUGAGUAACACGUGGGUGAUCUGCCUUGCACUCUGGGAUAAGCUUGGGAAACUGGGUCUAAUACCGGAUAUGAACUGCCUUUAGUGUGGUGGUUGGAAAGUUUUUUCGGUGCAAGAUGAGCUCGCGGCCUAUCAGCUUGUUGGUGGGGUAAUGGCCUACCAAGGCGUCGACGGGUAGCCGGCCUGAGAGGGUGUACGGCCACAUUGGGACUGAGAUACGGCCCAGACUCCUACGGGAGGCAGCAGUGGGGAAUAUUGCACAAUGGGCGGAAGCCUGAUGCAGCGACGCCGCGUGGGGGAUGACGGCCUUCGGGUUGUAAACUCCUUUCGACAGGGACGAAGC